GACGAAGGGGGCUAGCGUUGUUCGGAAUUACUGGGCGUAAAGGGCGCGUAGGCGGCAAUUCAAGUCAUCUGUGAAAUCUCCGGGCUUAACCCGGAACGGUCAGAUGAUACUGCUUUGCUAGAGUGCGGAAGGGGCAAUCGGAAUUCUUGGUGUAGCGGUGAAAUGCGUAGAUAUCAAGAGGAACACCUGAGGUGAAGACGGGUUGCUGGGCCGACACUGACGCUGACAGCGCGAAAGCCAGGGGAGCAAACGGG
rnacentral:rRNA from 1 species